GACGAACGCUGGCGGCGUGCCUAAUACAUGCAAGUCGAGCGCAGGAAACUGACGGAACUCUUCGGAGGGAAGGCAGUGGAAUGAGCGGCGGACGGGUGAGUAACACGUAAGGAACCUGCCUCAAGGAUUGGGAUAACUCCGAGAAAUCGGAGCUAAUACCGGAUAGUUCAACGGACCGCAUGGUCCGUUGAUGAAAGGCGCUACGGCGUCACCUUGAGAUGGCCUUGCGGUGCAUUAGCUAGUUGGUGGGGUAACGGCCCACCAAGGCGACGAUGCAUAGCCGACCUGAGAGGGUGAUCGGCCACACUGGGACUGAGACACGGCCCAGACUCCUACGGGAGGCAGCAGUAGGGAAUCUUCCACAAUGGACGAAAGUCUGAUGGAGCAACGCCGCGUGAGUGAUGAAGGUUUUCGGAUCGUAAAACUCUGUUGUAAGGGAAGAACACGUACGAGAGGGAAUGCUCGUACCUUGACGGUACCUUACGAGAAAGCCACGGCUAACUACGUGCCAGCAGCAGCCGCCG
rnacentral:rRNA from 1 species